rnacentral:sRNA from 1 species
GUUAGCAAAAAAUGGUUGGAAAGUGGGAUAGACGAGGUGCAUUUCUACUUUGUUAUCAUGGCCGAAAGAAAGAACUGGGCAGACCCCAAACAUGGAUGGCUGGGUGAUGAUGUAAGUUAUUGUUAUAUUCUGUCUGAAUUUGUCUAAUGUUAUAGCUGAGUUAUCGUGUCGUUCUGUCUGAGUUAAAGUAGAUAAUGGCUGAUUUAUGAUGUAAGUUAUUGUUAUAUUCUGUCUCAGUUUGUCUAACGUUAUGGCUGAGUUAUCGUGUCGUUCUGCCUAAGUUAAAGGAGAUAAUGGCUGAUUUAUUUAGGUGUUAAGGCUGAGUUUUACUUGGUUACGGCUGAGUUAAUGUUGUGUUUUGUCUUAGUUUUAUUUUUGUACAGCAUAUUGGUGCGUAUAUGAAAGUCCUCGCCCAGA